UACGUAGGGUGCAAGCGUUGUCCGGAAUUACUGGGCGUAAAGAGUUCGUAGGCGGUUUGUCGCGUCGUUUUGUGAAAACUCACAGCUCAACUGUGAGCCUGCAGGCGAUACGGGCAGACUUGAGUACUGCAGGGGAGACUGGAAUUCCUGGUGUAGCGGUGAAAUGCGCAGAUAUCAGGAGGAACACCGGUGGCGAAGGCGGGAUCCUGGGCCAGUACUGACGCUGAGGAGCGAAAGCGUGGGGAGCAAACAGG
rnacentral:rRNA from 1 species